rnacentral:rRNA from 1 species
GGCGAACGCUGGCGGCGUGCUUAACACAUGCAAGUCGAACGGAAAGGCCUUUUCGGAGGUACUCGAGUGGCGAACGGGUGAGUAACACGCGGGUGAUUUGCCCUGCACUCUGGGAUAAGCCUGGGAAACUGGGUCGAAGUCAGGAUAGGACCGCACUCUUGCGUGUGGGUGGGAAAGUGUUGUCGGUGUAGGAUGGGCCCGCGGCCUCUCAGGUUGUUGGUGGGGUAAUGGGCUACCCAGGCGGCGACGGGUAGCCGGACCGAGGGGUUGGUCGGGCACAGUGGGACUGGGAUUCGGCCCAGACUCCUACGGGGAGGAGGAGGGGGGGAUAUUUCACAAGGGGGGCGAGCCUGAUGCAGCGACGCCGGGGGGGGGAUGGCGGCCUUCGGGUUGUAAACUCCUUUCGCCAGGGACGGAGCGGUUUGUGACGGUACCGGGAGAAGAAGCACCGGCUAACUACGUG